UUGACUAUUGUUGAAAGUGCUGCUAUAAAUAUCGGGGUACAAGUGCCAUCAAAGCCCCAGAGGAGAAAGCAGGAAGUCUUGUAAAUAAGAGAAUUCUUGAAGGAAGGCCCCUGGGGAGUGUUCAGAUUCCUUCUAAGAUAGGCCUCAACAGAAAUGACUACUGGUGUUUCCUAUGGCAAGGGCCACAUCCAUUCCAUUACCCAUGAGGGAGUGAGGAAGUGAGGGAGGACUGACUCUAUCUCUGUUUGUUUCCAUAUGGACUAGAAAUAAUUACUGUGACAUGAGUUUUUAAAUUUCUUUAAUUCUCCCAACGGUAUCACUGUUUGGUAACUGUUGUCAUACUAGAAUUAUUUUCCCAAAGGAAAACCCAAUCAGGCCAUCAAACAAAAUGAUGUGGGUGGUUUUUUUUAUUAAGUUUUUAUUUAAAUUCCAGUUAGUUAACAAAUGGUAUGAUAUAGUUUCCAGUGUACAAUUUAGUGAUUUAACACUUCUAUACAUCACCCCAUGCUCAUCACAACAAGCGUCCUCCUUAAUUCCCAUCACUUAUUUCGCCCGUCCCCCCCCCACCCAACCUACAUCCCCAUCAAAAUGAUUUUUUUUUGCUGAUUUUGGAAGGCAGCAGAAAGGGCCAAGUGGACAAUCCUGUACCCUAAUUUGCAUCUCGCCUGGAGGUUUAGUUUUCUAUCACUGUGUAACAAAUUACCACAUAUUUGGCAGCUUAACAUGGUUAAAUUUAUUAUCUCACAGGUUCCACGGGUCAGGAGCCAAACAUGUUUCAAUUGGGUCUUCACAAGGCUGAAAACUAAAUGUUGGCCAUCUACAUCCUCAUCUGGAGAUCCAGCUAGAGAAAUAUCUGCCUCCAAGCUCUUUUAGGUGGUUAGAAGAACGUAUUUUCCAGAUGCUGUAUGACUGAGGUCUCCAUUUUCUUGCUAGCUAUUGGCUGAGGAUGCUCUCAGGGUCCCGCCAUGUAGCACUCACUAUAGGCAGGCUACAACCUGGCUGUUCAUUUUUUCAAGGAUAGCAGGAGAAUUUCUGUUUCUUCCUUCACAAAGGGCCCACUCAGCUUUUUAAGAACUCACCUGAUUAGAUCAGACGCACCCAUGAUAGACUUCCUUUUGAUUAACUCAAAAUCAACUGAUUUGAGACCCUGAUGACACCUGCAAAAUCUCUUCACCUUUGUCAUAUCAUCAACCUAAACAUGAGAAUAAAGAGUGUAAACACCAGGGAGCAGGAAUCUCGGGGACCAUCUCAGAAUUCUGCCUACCACACCUGCAGAACCAGGACUCAGACAUUAAAGGACGUGCUAUGAAGGAGCAUGCCAAGCCCCUGAUGAAUGCAGAGGGAAGGCACAGAAAUAUAAGUGAGAAGGUGGCCUGAGAUGAGACAAAGAAGAAACUGUAUCUGUCUGUUAAAGGAGCCCCUCUUACACUGUAUCUGUCUGUCAAAAGAGCUUCACUAGGGUCAGAGGGAGACAGGAAUUGCAGAAAGAGUUGAAUACUACUCAGAGUUUCCAGAUGAAGAUUGUCUGUUAUAUAUGGCUACUCAUCCUAACAGGAAUCACAUCACUGGCUGAGCCCAGACCAGGGAGGGUAGGUCAGUUUCAUCUUGUAUCACAGCUCUGAGCAACCAGUAGAGUCUGCCAGUAGGGCUGCACUGACAAGGAUUCUGAAAACUGGAUUUCUCGGUUCAGCAGGAAAGAGUUCUGGGCUUGAUUAAUGAUGUCUGUUAUGAACUCUGGCUUGGUGAUUCUAUGUUGAACAGGUAUUGGCUAUCUCUGCCUUAAAAAGUACACUUAUCCUAAGAAGUCCGGACAAAUAUUAAACAAGAAGGGAAGUGCUCAAGAAUAUCCAGUGUAUAGGAAAGAGACAACCUUCGUAAGACAAUUUCUUAUGCUUCCCUUCCCAAAAACUAUCAUCUUCCUACCUAAAACCCUCCAAUGAGAAUUUACAGAUCUCAAGGAGUGAUGGAUCCAUAAAACAGAAUCCUCACCAUCAACUCACCGCUAUGCCCCCAAAGCAGUAGCUAUCUGAUUUCCAAGUGCUGCUCAAAAUCCACAGAAAGAAGGCUUUGUGCGCAUUAAAGGACUGAGUGACUUCCUGAAGAGUCAGACCAGCCACAUCCCAUUUAACAGACAGAAGUGCAAGGUCAUGUCUGAGUCUCCAGGCUUCUGCCAAAACUUCUCAUUUCCAUUAGAUCAAGACUCCUGAACAUUUUAAUAUUGGGAGCGUUUCGGUUCCUUGUCACAGCCAUCUCUGCUUUACCAUUCCUUGGGGCUUGGCAAGGGAAAGUCACCUCAUUUUCACAACUUCACGGCAUUUUUUCACAUCAUGAAAAUGCCCUCAUGUUUGUCACUCGUACAAUAAACAAAAGCAAGAAAGCAAAUCCGUCUGCAGAACGGUGCCAUAUGAAGCUAAAUUAAAAUGCUAAUGGGUGAGCACGACACAGAGAAAACAACACACGGCCGAGAGUUAAGGGAACAUGGAUUUCAUGCAGAAGGGCCCUUCGAACCACAGUCUGUACGACCCGCUCCAUCUGAGGAGCUAGAGACAGCCAAAGUAGGACAGACGUAGAAACCAAACUUUCAUGGCUCCUAGUCUCAGUUAUCGCUCCUUUCUACUCUACGGCUUUUCUUGGAAUGAGGUUAUGUGAAGUCUGAAGAAAUAGCCCCUGGCAACGCUUUCUCACAGAAAAAAAGGUGCCUUUCUUCCUUCCCCCUCCAACUAUUUAUGUAAUGGAACCACGUUGAUACAGACAAUAAUAUGCCAUUAACUUCCAGGUCUGGGCAAGGAGAGAAUACACCAAGAUGAACCGUGGAACAAAACUAAGACACCUGCCCUUAAAAUAGUAGACAGAAUGCAUGCCUCUGAUAUUCUCAUCAAUGUGGAGCCAAACUAUUUAGUCUGUAGAUGUCAGAUACAUCAGGACGGUUCUAAUCUCAAUACUAUCUGUUAGGUGCAGAACUGAAGAACAAUAUACUGGCGAAUGAAUUUCAAAGAUCUUUGGGAGAAAACCGAAUUCGAUCCAAUUCAUUCAGGGGUAAAUAACAUCCCUGAAAUUUGGAAACAAAAUGUAGUCCCAUUAUGAAGCUCCUGCAGUAAUGAACUAGAACAAGAUACGUAAGAAAUUCCAAACACCCCUCUCCACAGAAGGACUUAAGAGGUGUGUUUGAAGGAAAGAUCUUAAUUCUCUGCUGCCAUUCCGAAAUCUUCUUUAUAAAAGAAAAAAAACCCCUCCUAUACAUUGUACAUUUAUUGAAUAAGUCCAAGCCAUAAGUAUGCAUUGAUUCUUCGGUUGCCAUAGCAGAGGGAACGGUUUCUGUGUAAUGAUGGUAGUUGCCAUAUGUUCAGCUUCAAGUCAACUGAUUCCAUCACAAAAGGAGGAGAGCGCAGAGGGGGGCUGCACAGCUUCACCUGUCCCAAAAUUCCAGUUAGCAUUGAGAUGUCAUAUGAGCCUCUCUUCUGGGACUGAGAAAGAAUAUGGGCCACAGCCCUGGUUUCAGAGCAAACACAUUUGCAAGGGAUUCUCACACAUAAGCCACUGCUCUAGGAGCCUGAUCAGCACCUAACCCAAAUGAAGUGUUUAUAACUUGCAAAAUGGCCCAGGAGGGGAUCUUAGUAAAGAUUUACAGCCAAAAAGGGACACAUUCCUUGGUGGUGGGAGGGGAGACGGGAGCAGUUAAUGCCCUCUCUUUGAGAGCAGGGACUGGAGACAUGUAGAGGGAAUGUGUGAAUUUGGGACCCCAAACAGAAUUGAGAAGUAUUUAAUCAUAGAAGAUAGAUCUUCAGCAAGUCCUAGAGUUGGAAGGUGUCUGGACCCUUUGAGGCAACAUCUCAGAGGGUGAGCUGGGCACAUUCUUGCCCAAACUCCUUCUCUUUGAAGAAUUCCAGGCUGGCUGUUCCAUGGUCUGACUCAAGGUAACAAUCAUGGAUGUGGUUACGUUGCCAGUUAGGGUGUGGCUAUCUCCACCGUCAGCACACUAAUGAGUGUUUUGAAUGUCCAAGAGCUUAUUUUUUGGUACUCUUCCAGGGUCCUGUGAGCAAAUUGGCUAUUCACUGGUAGAGGAAUUUAUUUGUUUCUGGAACUCUAUGGCAUGCAUUAUUAAAUCCCUGCAGCAGAAAUCUAAAUGAUCCUUGAAGGAUCCAGAGCCCUUCCAACACAACCCAACUACAAGGAAAGGCCUCCUGGCACUGAGAUGUAUGGCCCCAAUGACCUUUUUUAAUGACUCAUAUUUUCUGUACUUUAGAAAUUCAAAGGAAUCUCAGAAACAGAAGACUCAGCCUCGGCAUUUACACUAUUUUUUUGUCUUUGUCGUGGCUAAAUUAUGUGCUGGGUACUUUCUAAAUAGACACCAUGCUAGGGCUUUUGUUUCUUUAUCAGGGCAUCAAAUCGAUAACGAAAAGACAGACAAUCCACUAAACAAAUGAGCAAAGGCCUUGACUAGGCACUUCACAAAAGAACUCCAGACAGCCAACUAACAAAUCAAAGAUAUGCUUAAUCUCACCGAUAAUCAGAGAAAUGCAAGUCAAAACCAUAGUAAGAUGCCACUACACGCCCACCAGAUUGGCUCAAAUUUAAAAGCCUGGCAAUGUCAAGUAUUGAGGAAGAUGUGAGGCAUCCGGAAGUCUCAUACUGCUAGUGGGAAUGCAAACUGGUAACACCACUGUGGAAAACAGCUGGGCCUUAUUCAAUACAAUGGAAGAAACGCAAAUAGUAUGACUUAGUGAUCAUAUGAACGAACUUCAGCCAAACUUUGAAGACAUGGUCAACUCGGGGGGAGGGUGGAGUUGUUGUCGGGAAGACACAUAAACGGGUGCUUGACCUGGAUGGUGGCCACAUAGAUUUUUACUUGUUAUAUGUACACACACACACACACACACACACACACUCCACUCUCCAGUAAGUUCUAUUUAAGGAGAAAAAAAAAGUUUAAAGAAAAAUCUGUAUCCAACAGAUGCCUCAAGUAGAAAGUCUUAAGUUUGUUUUGGUGAAGACUUUAUCCAAAAGCUCAGAAUGUAAUUCAGACAAACUUCAGGAGCAUGCUCCAUUCAUCUAUUCCAACCUUUCUUGGAGCUGCCUGUAUUGCCUACCUAACAACUACUUGGGAUAAUGAGUUUCACAGAGACACAUGUAAAGAAAAAUUGUAGAGUAGCCAGAAGAAGGGUUCAGAGAGCUAGGGUUCUUUAGGAAGGGGGGGAAAAAAAAGAAGAAGAAUUUUCAUCCUUCUUCUGCAAGGGGGCAGAGACUUGGGAGUAGAGGAUCCUCAUCAAACUGUGUGUUUCCUCUGAUGAGCUCUUGUUAUGAUAAUUAUUAUCACUCCAAAGAUGUUGAUAAUUAUAUUUAGACAGUUUUUAAAGCAAUAUUGUAUAAUAUUUCCCCCCGUUUAACACCAGCGUCAGAGCUGAUGAAUACGCAGUCAGAUGAAAUGCAGGCCUGCUGGUCUGUCCACAAAGUGUUCCCAUCAACCGUGUAAGUGAGUUUUAUAAUGUAUACAUUAUAGUAGGGGGGGAGGCAUACUCUUUUGGAAAGGACCGAUUCUUGGCACAUAAUCAGUUCCCAUUGAAUUUAAAUGACUUUUGGUCCUACACCGAUGCUGAUAAAAUACUUUCAAAUGUACAGAAUAUUAACCAAAUGUUUAUAUUAAACAACUCCUUUCAGGUGAAAAUGCGCUCGGCGAAGCGUAGCUCCCUGGAGCAAGUUAGUGAAUAUUAAUGUUCAGCAGAUCAUAAGGAGCUACAAGUUCUCCAAUGUAAGAAGCCGAGGGGGGAGACAAAAGAGCAAGGUUGGUGGAUGGGCCCUGCCUGGGGAAGGUACAAUCACAUUGGACAUAACCUCAUUGAGAUGGAAAUGGAGUUUGAUGUACUUGCAAUCGGGGCUGCCAGGAACUAGGAAGCAAACGCGGGCUGGGGAGGAAGAGCUCAAGGCUCUCGCCUACGCUUCCAAAGUCCACACGCCGCAGACCCGGGCUGGCCUCAGACCUGCCAGGGGCCCCGUCAGCAUGGAGAUUUACAGGACGCGCCUCAUAAUUAAUACCAGCCAAUCGCCGGUUAAUCAUGGGCCCUGGUUUCGGGUUUCAGGAAAUCACUUGUCUUGUAUGGGACACAUAAACGUGCAGCAACCACAUACAUACCGCAUACUUCAGAGGGAAGACAGACAGCUUUAUCAACCAGGCUGGAGAUCAAAAUGAACACUUCUGCGCAUCUGGUGAUGGGGAAAAGGCCAUCCUGGGAAACAUCGGGUCCAGGGUGAUGUCUGGCUCUGAGCAGGAUGUCAGUGGGGAAUUUGGUCAGCCAGCCCCACUCUGGACGUCUGAUCCCCUACCCACAAAAUGAGGACAUUAACAUUUCAGUGUGAAGUGCUUUGGGCCACUUGGAAGAACCAUCUCUAUAAGCAGAAGAAUGCCCAAACAAAAGCAGAGAGUGGAAAGAAUGACAUUUUAAAAACUGCAAGCGAAGACUGAUGACUCCUUAGAAUACACCAUAAUGAGGGAAUGAUGACUGGGGGGUCUACCUCCUAAGUCAUCCACUGUACUUGCUACCAGCAGCAACGCCAUACUAGAAGCGCCAUCUUGAGAAGACAUGAAAGCCUGGGGUUGAAAACAG